AGUGAACGCUGGCGGUAGGCCUAACACAUGCAAGUCGAACGGCAGCACAGUAAGAGCUUGCUCUUACGGGUGGCGAGUGGCGGACGGGUGAGGAAUACAUCGGAAUCUACUUUUUCGUGGGGGAUAACGUAGGGAAACUUACGCUAAUACCGCAUACGACCUACGGGUGAAAGCAGUGGAUCUUCGGACCUUGCGCGAUUGAAUGAGCCGAUGUCGGAUUAGCUAGUUGGCGGGGUAAAGGCCCACCAAGGCGACGAUCCGUAGCUGGUCUGAGAGGAUGAUCAGCCACACUGGAACUGAGACACGGUCCAGACUCCUACGGGAGGCAGCAGUGGGGAAUAUUGGACAAUGGGCGCAAGCCUGAUCCAGCCAUACCGCGUGGGUGAAGAGGGCCUUCGGGUUGUAAAGCCCUUUUGUUGGGAAAGAAAAGCAGCAGGUUAAUACCCCGCUGUUCUGACGGUACCCAAAGAAUAAGCACCGGCUAACUUCGUG
rnacentral:rRNA from 1 species